GGGAAUGCAAGAAUUGUGGACCCCUUCACAGGGGAUCCACCUAUCAAGUCAUCACUGUUGCUGCCAGACCUUGAAGAGAAGGCUCAGUGGUUAAGAGCACUGGGUACCCUUCCUGAAGGCUCAGGCCCUUCUCAUGGUAUGUCACAGAAACUUCCUUGGAGUCCAAAGAUCGGCGUGGUAAGUAGCGGAAGUAACAGGAGUUUGGAGCCUAAGAGAAGGUUGAGAUUGAGGAUAUGGAUAGCGGGCUGAGUGUACUGUUGUCAGCCUCGGGACUUUAGACUUUGAUCAGAUCUCAUGGCCUUCAAUUUCAGCAACUAUAACAGAAGAGAUCACUAUAGUUCUUAACUGAAGUGUUGACACCAAGGUUAAAAGAGCUUACUUAGCACAACUUGAGAGAAUGUAUGUAUGAGGGUUCAGGGAUGACCGUUUUUAUUUCCCAACCACCACACUAUCACUACUAUUACCAAUAACAACACAACCACCAUCACCACUACUGUCACUACCACCACAACCAUUAUCACCACCAUCGAUAACAUCAUUACCACUGUCACCACUACCGUCACUCCUACAACCAUCAUUACCGUUAUCUCUAUCAGCAUCACCACUAUCUUGACCACCUUCACUAUCACCAUCACAUGGCAGAAACACCAGCUGUCCACGGAAGUCUCCUCAUCCUAACUUGACAAAAGGGGAAACAGUUACAGAGAUUAUCAGAACAGGAAUUGAAUCAGAGACUCUUAGCCCAACCACAGUAUGCUCACCAGGACACCAGCCAUGUGAGAAAUGGUCAGACAACACACUUUCUUCCCUGGACUCCUAGAGAGCAGGAGGAGAUGUGAUGGACCCUGCUCCUUCCAAGUGGUGCAGUCUCCUUUUCCCUGCCUCGCCCUGCAUUUCCAUGGUCAGCUGUAGUGGUUCCCAGACCCUUUGCAGGAGUCCAGGCUAUUUCUAACAAAUUGAUCCUUGCUUUUUCUUUUCUGUUUCAUUUUUUCCUUCCUUUCCCCCCUUUUCCUCCCCUUCCUUUCUUCCUUCCUUCCUUCCUCCCUCCCUUCCUUCCUU
rnacentral:lncRNA from 1 species